GAGUUUGAUUAUGGCUCAGAGUGAACGCUGGCGGCGUGCCUAAUACAUGCAAGUCGAACGGAGAUUAAAGUAAGCUUGCUUAUUUUAAUCUUAGUGGCGCACGGGUGAGUAAUGUAUAGCUAAUCUGCCCUACACUAGAGGACAACAGUUGGAAACGACUGCUAAUACUCUAUACUCCUUCUUUACAUAAGUUAAGUCGGGAAAGUUUUUCGGUGUAGGAUGAGGCUAUAUCGUAUCAGCUAGUUGGUGAGGUAAUGGCUCACCAAGGCUAUGACGCGUAACUGGUCUGAGAGGAUGAUCAGUCACACUGGAACUGAGACACGGUCCAGACUCCUACGGGAGGCAGCAGUAGGGAAUAUUGCUCAAUGGGGGAAACCCUGAAGCAGCAACGCCGCGUGGAGGAUGACACUUUUCGGAGCGUAAACUCCUUUUCUUGGGAAAGAAUUAUGACGUACCCAGGNNGCC
rnacentral:rRNA from 1 species